rnacentral:rRNA from 1 species
UACGUGGAGGGGCAAGCGUUGUCCGGAUUCAUUGGGCGUAAAGAGCGUGUAGGCGGCCAGGUAGGUCGGUUGUGAAAACUGGAGGCUCAACCUUCAGAGGUCGACCGAAACCAUCUGGCUAGAGUCCGGGAGAGGAGAGUGGAAUUCCUGGUGUAGCGGUGAAAUGCGCAGAUAUCAGGAGGAACACCUAUGGCGAAAGCAGGUAUCUGGGCCAUCACUGACGCUGAGCUGCGAAAGCUAGGGGAGCAAACAGG